GCCUCGAUAGCUCAAUGGUAGAGCAGUUGACUCUUAAUCAAUUGGUUGAAGGUUCGAGUCCUUCUCGGGGUACCA
rnacentral:tRNA from 5 species